rnacentral:rRNA from 1 species
UACAGAGGGUGCAAGCGUUGUUCGGAAUUAUUGGGCGUAAAGCGCGUGUAGGCGGUGACGCAUGUCGGGUGUGAAAGCCCUCGGCUUAACCGGGGAAGUGCGCCCGAAACUGCGUUGCUGGAGUGCCGGAGAGGGUGGCGGAAUUCCCGGUGUAGAGGUGAAAUUCGUAGAUAUCGGGAGGAACACCAGUGGCGAAGGCGGCCACCUGGACGGACACUGACGCUGAGACGCGAAAGCGUGGGUAG